UGGGGAAUUUUGGACAAUGGGGGCAACCCUGAUCCAGCAAUGCCGCGUGAGUGAAGAAGGCCUUCGGGUUGUAAAGCUCUUUUGUCAGGGAAGAAACGGUAGUAGCGAAUAACUAUUACUAAUGACGGUACCUGAAGAAUAAGCACCGGCUAACUACGUGCCAGCAGCCGCGGUAAUACGUAGGGUGCAAGCGUUAAUCGGAAUUACUGGGCGUAAAGCGUGCGCAGGCGGUUGUGUAAGUCAGAUGUGAAAUCCCCGGGUUCAACCUGGGAAUUGCAUUUGAGACUGCACGGCUAGAGUGUGUCAGAGGGGGGUAGAAUUCCACGUGUAGCAGUGAAAUGCGUAGAUAUGUGGAGGAAUACCGAUGGCGAAGGCAGCCCCCUGGGAUAACACUGACGCUCAUGCACGAAAGCGUGGGGAGCAAACAGGAUUAGAUACCCAAGUAGUCCCUGAGCGGGCUGGCAAGGCGCAU
rnacentral:rRNA from 1 species